rnacentral:rRNA from 1 species
GACAGAGGGUGCAAACGUUGUUCGGAAUUACUGGGCGUAAAGCGCGUGUAGGCUGCUCUGCAAGUCGGGUGUGAAAGCCCCGGGCUCAACCUGGGAAUUGCAUUCGAGACUGAAUAGCUAGGGUACGGUAGAGGGAAGCGGAAUUUCCGGUGUAGCGGUGAAAUGCGUAGAUAUCGGAAGGAACAUCAGUGGCGAAAGCGGCUUCCUGGACCAGUACCGACGUUCAGGCACGAAAGCGUGGGGAGCAAACAGG